ACCCUGGAGAAAGAAUCUUACAAAGAAUACUAAAGAGCAUCCAAGUGUGAAGAAUGAAACACACAAUGCACAUGAAGUCCAGCCAUGGUGUAGCCAAGGAGACCCACUAAGACCACCAAAAGCUUGGAAAUGAGGAUGCAGGGGCAAAGGACGGCAUUAUAGGCGUGAGUGAUAAGAAAUUAUACAGGAAUGACACAUUUGGCAAUAAAGAACACAAAGAGAUAGUUCCUGGACCUGAACAGGAAAAGACGGUGCCAGGAUACUAUGAAGAAUCUUCACAAGCACUGAUUGAAUAGUAAACAAAUAUUUGUGCUCUUCAGGCAUGAAAAACAAAAUAUCAACAAACAGGCAUGGAUUCUUCUGCAGCAUGAGUGAGUUCAGAGGCAGUUCAAAG
rnacentral:lncRNA from 1 species